rnacentral:tRNA from 2 species
AUUUUUUUAGUAUAUAAGUAUAUUUGACUUCCAAUCAAAAGGACUCAAACGAGAAAAAAUA